GUGAGUCAGUGUUUGGCCGGGCCAGGCCCUAGCCGCUUCCCAUCAGGGCGGGCGGGGCUGCGGCUCCCUCCGGCCAGGGGUGAGGGCCUGAGUCAGCGAGUCAGGUAACUGGAGGAGCAUGCGGGGCUUUCCCACCUGCACCCCAGGGCCGCUGAGCAGGCUGGGCCGCCUCCCACAGUGGAGAAGCCUCUGCACCCGGGACAGCUCAGGCGCUGCCUGCCUCCACGGCCAACCCCGGGCCCCCAGUCCCGAGAGACACGGAGAGCCUCUCCUCUGCCUGAAACACAUCGGGGGCCCAGAACCCUAGCCAAGGGCCUUUCCUGGGGGAAGACAAGAGCUGUGAAUCCAACGAGACCUGGGAAGCCAGGGAAAGCCUUCCUGAACAGGGCACACUUGAACCAAGGCCCGAAGGAGGGCCGGCCCGCAGACUCCUAUGUAGCAACGCAACCCCAUGACAUCAGGACUCUCAGGAACCGCACCGCACAGCUGGACUCCGAGGCCUGCUCAGGGCUCCGGACCGAGGCCCGCUCCGCCUUGUAACAGGAGGUGAGCAAGUUCUGGGGGAUGUCAAGGCCUGCCAGCACCCAAGUGGGGCUUUUCCCAGGUGCUCAGAACAAUCAAAGAACCACAGGUGACAUCCUCCCGGGUGUCACCUGUUAGCCAACUCAUCUUGUGUUGGAGAUUUCCUGGGUGGACAUGGGGUCGGUGUGGUCCUUGAGGGUUAGUCUCCCUAGAGCCUUUGCAGGUGUGUCAGCGGGAAGGGCCCAAAAGACGGGGAGCCUGUCGGGCAGCCACUGCCCCAGCCCAGACAGAAUCCAGAGAAUUCCACAUUAACUGACGCCUCCCCUUUUCAAGUCCGUUCACCUCCGUUGGGCAGGACAGGUGACGUCUGGGUCAGUGCUGGGCUCUCUCUCCUAUUCCCUUGAUGUGUUUGCCCACUUCUGUGCCAACACCAUGCAGUUUUAUUUUCUGUACCUCUGCCACACAUUCUAAUGUCUAGACAAGUCCUCCCUCUUGACUCUUCCUGUUCAGAAUUGUCUUGGCUAUUUUCUUCGCACAUUUCCUCUUUCAUGAGACUGCUAACAGACAGGCCUCGAGAUGCUAAUGACAGACCCCGAGCCACAAAGGGCUUCAAGCUUCAUGGCCCAUUUCCAAGGCUCCCAGGAACCCGGGGCAGUGUGGCUGGGUGUGGGGAAGGCAAGCUGGGAGGAACGGGGGGCCUUUCCACCACCCCCAACACACCAGUCCUGGUGGGUCACAAAGGAGCCCUGUCUGCCUGUUAAGGGCUUUGAACACCCUUAAAAAUAGCAGCAUUUGCCACUUCAUGUUUCCCCCGUACACUGUGUACACGCUCUCUUUCUCUAAGUCAACUUGAGUUGUAAAGUUUUAUUUAAACUUAUAGAAAACAUUUUCUUCUUGCUUUAAAUGAGAAACCAGUAUGAAAGGUGAGGCGUUUGCUGUCAGUGCCUCACCCUUCUCCCCUCCCGCUCACUUUUCAUGAACACAGACCAGAUUCCAGCCGCCUGUCAGCACCUGCCCUCCUAUCAUUAUUAUUAAUUAUUAUCAUCAUUAUUAUUUUCUUGAGGUCACGUUGGUCGAUAACAUUGUGCACAUUCCAGAUGUACAUCAUUGUAUUUCAGCUUCUGUGUAGACAGCAUGGUGUUCACCACCAAUAGCCUAGUUUUAAUCCAUCACCAUACAUAUGUGCCCCUUCACCCCUUUUGCCUUCCCCCCACCCCAUUCCCCUCUGGUAACCACCAAUCUCUUCUCCUUGUCCACGUGUGUAUCUUCCACACAUGAGUGAGAGCAUACGGUGUUUGUCUUUCUCUGUCUUAUUUCACUCAGCAUAAUACCCUCAAGGUCCAGCCAUGUUGUCACAAAUGGCAUGACUUCGUCCUUUCUUAUGGCUGAGGAGUAUAUAUACAUACACACCAUGUCUUCUUCAUCCAUUCAUCUGUUGAUGGGCACUUGGGUUGCUUCCAAGUCUUGGCUAUUGUGAUAAUGCUGCAAUGAACACAGGGUGGAUAGAGCUUUUCAAUUACUGAUUUCAUGUUCUUUGGAUAAAUACUCAAAAGUGGAAUAGUGGAUCAUAUGGUAUUUCUAUUUUUAAUUUUUUGAGAAAGUGGAGACUAAAUAACAUGCUACUGAACAACUAUUGGAUCAAUAAAUAAAUCAAAGGAGAAAUAAAAAAAAUACCUGGAGACAAAUGAAAAUGAAAACACAACAUAUCAAAACUUAUGGGAUGCAGCAAAAGCAGUACUAAGAGGGAUGUUUAUAGUAAUACGGGCCUACCUCAAAAACAAGAAAAAUCUCAAAUAAACAAUCUAACACUUUACCUAAAAGAGCUAGAAAAAGAAGAACAAACAGAGCCCAAAGUCAGUAGAAGGAAGGAAAUAAUUAAAAUAAGAACUGAAAUAAAAUAGAGACAAAAAACAAUAGAAAGGAUCAGUGAAACUAAGAGCUGGUUCUUUGAAAAGAUAAACAAAAUUGACAAGCCCUUAGCUAGACUCUCUAAGAAAAAAAGAGGGAGGGGACGGCUCAAACAAACGAAAUCAGAAAUGAGAGAGGAGACAUCACAACAGACACCACAGAAAUGCAAAGGAUCCUAAGAGAAGACUACGCAAACCCGUAUGUCAACAAAUUGGAUAAUCUAGAGAAAUGGAUAAAUUCUUAGACGCGUACAACCUCCCAAAUCUGAAUCAAGAAGAAACAGAGACUCUGAAUAGACCAAUCACAAGUACAGAUUGAAACUAAUCAGAAACCCCCCUAGAAACAGAAGUCCAGGACCAGGCGGCUUCUCUCAGCCCCCAGGCCCCGGCCCUGGGUGGCAGCUGGAAGUGCUGGGAAGCAUCACUCCAGGGAGCCGCCCUCAAUCAAAGCCGGCAGGAGAGCAUGGACACCUCCCGCUGCUCCCCGGCCACCCCCGCCCCACCCGGGGGGUGACUCAGAAGGCACGGUCUACACUAUCUCCCAGAGUCCCACAGCGGACUGAGUCCCACAGCCCGGAGCGCUUACUUCUCCAUAACGCUCUGCGCUGGCUGCGCUCACUUCCCCACUCCCCUACCAGUGUUUUCUGGGGUCGCCUCCCAAAUGAACCGCUUGCUUUCAAAUUGUUCUCUUAGGGUUCUGCUUCCAGGGAAACCCAACCCAAGGCGCUCACUGGAAAUUGGAGACAUUCAGCCAAUUACACAAAGGGGCAAAACAAAACCAGAAACCGCUACCGCUGGGGGCUUGGCGCUGGGGCUGCUGUUUCCUAAAAAGAAAGAACAGGGGGAGGAAAGUGGUGAAGACACACAAGCCCCGGUCAGCCUUUCCUUCCCUGUGGCACCAUCAGGAGGAUGGGAAGGGAGCUGAAAUGACUCUUGCACACUGUGAGUUGAUGGGGUCUCAGUCGGGGUCCCCAUACCCCACACAGCCGCCGCCAGCCCCAACCACGGCCCACCAUUCAUGAACAAUUUGUCGCAGGCUGGCUCCGAGGAUGGAGGACCUCUCGGCCCAGGUUGGGCAGCUGGCAGGACACAAGGCUGGUGGGCUUGGCAGGCAGUGCUCAGCACUGGGCUGGGCACAGGGGCCAGAGGGGGCCAGGAAGAGGACCUGUGGUCCCACCGUUCAGGCAAUGAGCCUGACACAUGGGCUGACGGCCUAACUCUGCUUUGAGUGCGUCUUGAGAAGGGAGAGCUCAUGGCCUCCCUCAUUCAUUCAUUCAUUCAACAAAUGUUUAUUGAGGACCUACUGUGUGCUGGGCGAGGCACUGGGGAGACCAAGAGGACAGACCAGAAUCCCUCAUGGUGCUGACACUCAAAUGGGGGACACAGACAAGAAACAAGUGAACACAGAAAUAAACUGGAAUGAGAGUCUUUGGGGCUACAAAGAAGAUAAACGGAAUGAUGGGAUAAAAAGUAGAAGGAGUGUUUGACAGUAUUGGCCUGGGGGGGGCCUCUGUGGAGGGGUCGUUUAAGCUCAGAAUGGAAUGUGGAGAAGAAUCCAGCCAUGCAAAAAGCUAGAGACAGAGGGUUCCAGAUAGCAGGGACAGCAUAUGCAAAGGCCGGGGGUGGGAGUGAGCUCAGAGUGUUGGAGGAACAGGAGCAGGCUGGUGUGCUGGAGGAGGGGUGGUGGGAGGCUGGGGUGACACGGUCCCCCGGGCCGGGCCAGAGUGAAGGGAUGCCUGGGAUGCGUUCGUGGGAUCGAUGAGUCACUCGGGAAGGCGUCCUCGGGCACUGGAUGGAGAGCUCGGAGGGCACUGGAUGGAGAGCUCGGAGGGGAGCUGAAGGUGGUGGAUCCGGGAGGCGUCUUCUCUUGGUGUCUUUGUCAGUGGAAGGGGAGGCCCAGGAGAAUGACCUUGCUCUGCAUGGGGCCAGACUGCAGUGGGGAGGGGCUUCGGGUCCCACGACCACGUCUAUGUCGUGAGGCGCUAUUUGCUGAGAACCUGUGCACCAGGCUCUCCGUGACCGGGUCAGAGGCUGCCGGACACAUCCCCUCCCGGGAAGACGCUCGCAGGGAGAGGAAAUUGCAACACAGUGCCGUGAGUUUUCCAGGGAAGGGCCUUUCAAGUUGGCUUCUGAAGGAUGACGAGGAGCUUGCGGUAGGGAAACCAUGACCCAAAGGGCAGAAACCCUUCCUCUUGUUUGUCACUGUGCCCCAGCACCCAGGACGGGGCCCAGCACAGGGCAGGCGCUCGGUUGAUAACCGUUGAGAGAACGAAUGGGAACUGUCCGCACUUUGGUUAUUCAAGCAACGGCCUUCCCGAUUUUUGUGCGGUUUGCAUUCCAGACCUACUGUUACUUAAUGUUUUUCUUCAAGUUGACUUAACUUUCUAUUUAAAUAAAUUUGUUUAGAAGGGAAACAUUUGAUAUUAUCGCUAGAACUGAAAAAAGCAAAGAACACUUGCCGCAAAUCAAAGAUAACCAGAAAAAUCCUCAUGAUGAAAACCAACGAUGUUAUCAGGGUCUCCCCGUUAAGGGGGCAAAAGGACAAGCGGCAGACUGGGAGGAAAUAUUCGCAGAUCACACAUCUGACGAAGGACGGACUCGGAUCCAGAAUACAGAAAGAACCCUCCAGGCCACGAAUAAGAAAACAAUCUGAUUUUUUAAAUGGACAAAAAGUUUGAUCAGACACUACUACACCAAAGAACAUAUACGGAUGGCAAAUAAGCCCGUAAAAAGACGCUCAACAUCAUUAGUCAGCAGGGAAACGCAAAUUAACAUCACGACGUCAUCCCGGUAUACACCUAUGAGAUGGCUAAAAUUUUUUUAAAAUUGACAAUACCAAGUGCUGGCGAGGAUGAGAAGCAACUGAAACUUUCGCCCAUUGCUGGUGGCAAUGCAAAAUGGUACAGACACAGGUUAGCGGUUUCUGAGUAAGUCAAACAUGUACUUGACCGCAUGACAUAGCAGUUUGACCCCUAAGCCUUUCCCCAAGAUAAAGAAAAAUUAUGUUCACGUGACAACCUGUUUGCAAAUGUUCAUAGUGGCUUUAAUUAUAUCACUAAACACUGGAAACAGUCCAAAUAUCCCUCACGUGGUGAACGGGUACGCAGGCUGCGGUACGUCCAUACGCUGGAACGCUGCUCAGUGAUAACAAGGAAUGUUACUGAAAAACGUGCUGAGAACACACAGCGAAAUGAACACAUCUCAAAACCGCGAUGCUGAGUGAAGAAAGGCAAUGCCCUGCAGGACUCCACUUCCAUGACAUUCCGGAAACACAUCAGAUCUAAAGUCCAAAAACAGGUGCCACUGACCCAUGGUGACAGAAGUCAGGCUAGCGUUCAAGGUGCAUCAAGCAGAGCGCGUCUGUGGAGUGUGGCACAGCCCCACACAAAGCUCCCAAGAGUCUUGCUAGACACGACCGUGUGCCGAAGGCAGGGGGCCCGAGACCUGCUCCUUUCCAGAAAGAUCAGCAGGUAUUUGGUGUUAGACACAGGUCAGCGCCACGCGGAGACUGUCCUUGGCGUAAAGGAAGGACUGUGGCAGAUUCGCAAGGGGAAGAACCCACCACGCGCCCGGACGACAGCUGGUGCUCUGUCCCUGCGCCCUGCGAAACCGUGACACGCAGCCCCGGGGGCGCCCAUCGCCCACUGGGAGAGCACUCACGUGUCUGAGACAGCGUGCUGGCGGGCACGGCAGGGACACGGGCGCGGCACUGGGAGGGCGCAGCUCCCAAAGCAGAGGAGCCCACAUUUAGCUGGUGCAGUUCAGAGGAGGGCACUCACUUUUGCCGUUUGCGUCUCUGCGUCCCUCGGCACUACCUAGUCACCCCUCCAAGCUUUCGCAUUGGUCGCUCCUUCUGCUGGAGUUACUCCCUUCUCCCACCUGGACCACCCGACCCAUCCUAAACUCCCCUGGGGGGCCUCCUCCUUCUUCUCCCCGUCACUUGCAAGUCCCUUGCCGUUGCUGCUUUGGGGUCACUAUGCAUGUUACCUCCUCUGCCCAGACCCUCGUCCCUUCCCCUCCUCCAGGCCCACGGUCAGUCAGAACCUUUUGUAUGCAAGUGACAGAAAACCAGCCCAAACUGUUUUCAGGCAAAAAUGGGAAAUGCAGCAGCUCACGAAACUGAAAAGUCCAAGGGUGUGUGACUUCAGGUAUGGCUAGAUCCAGGGGUUCAAGCCCUGUUCAGCCCUGUGCUGAUCUCUGUCAGGCAGGCUUUUCCCUGUGACACCCCCAACGCUCCGGGCUUUCACUGGCUCUCUCAGUCCAACGGAAACGCUGCAUGUCCUUCGCAGAGUUCCCAGGAUCCACUUUCCUUGGGCGGGUUUAGCAUGUGUCCAUCCCCAGGCGAGUCGCUGGGCCAGACUUGGGCAUGUGCCCACCCCUGGAGACAGGGUCCCGGGACACCCCACCCAACCUCAGGGACUGACAUGGGGGAGGAGGAAGUUCUCCGGUAGAAAAUUCAGGUGUAACAGGGCACUGACCUGUCCGUAACUUGCCAUCUUUUCCUGGGAAAGUCUAACUCAUCCCAGCAUGCUGUGUGACCUCAGGCCAACCCCUUCCCCCCUCUGGGCUUCAUGUUCCCCUUCUGGAAAAUGGGCAGGAGGCUGCUUGAAUUCCAACAUUCCAGAACUCUGGGACAGCUUCCAGAACUGGCAACUGCUCCAUAAAUCCCAGGAACGUUCUGGAACUUCUGGGGACGGAAGUGGAGCAUCAGCCAGAGCCCUCCUCAGCCUGCGGCCCGGGAACAUGCUUAGAAGAUGACAAUUGGGCUCCCUUGGGCCGAAAUUCCACUCCCGUGGGGGCCUUGCCAAGGAAAACAAGCCCAAGAAGCAGGCAUUAAAGGUGAGCAUAUUUGACGAGUUUUAAGAUGACAAAUUAUUUACACAGGUGUGAGAACCAUCCCCUCGUGGCGGCUUUCUUCCUUUCUCUUCCUCCCCUUUCCAAAUUCUUUCCCCCAAGGGCGCUGACAGACGUGCCAAGGGAGGGGGCGGCUGGCGGUGAGGACCUGCCCACAGUGAGUCCUUAAAGCCCGGGCCCCAGGGGAGGAGGCGGAGCCGCAGGACAGCGGGUCGCACCAGGGGGCUCUGGUCACCCCUCCUCUACCUGCUUGCUCCCCACCCUGUCGCCUGGGGAGGCACGAGCCUGAGGUCCGGGCAUUUCAAGGCUCCCUGAGUCCUUCAGGAGGAUGGUGCCCAGGCCACCCCCCGGGAAAGCAGUUCCCAGGGUCACACAGCCAGCUCAUGCUCAACUUGGAGCUAACGAGGAGAGAGGUGGGGAAAGCAAUUGUUCUCGAGCACCUACUGUGUGCCUGACACUGAGCGGAGCCCUGGGAAUACACUGUGAAUGGAACAGCCCCAAACCCCUGCCUGGAGCCGACAAGGAAACAGGCCAGACAAACCCAAGAAGUGGAUCUGAUCAUCCUUGUUUUACCAAGGAGGAAACUGAGGCACAGAGAAGGGCAGGGACUUGCCCAGGGUCACACAGCAGAAGCAGAUCCCAGUCUCUUCCAUCUGGCUCCCAAGCCCGUGCUCCUGUGCUUCUGAGAGCGGCCCUCCCAGGCUCCCUCGGUCACACUCUCUGCUGUAUUCCCCUCGGAGCCCCCAUAACUCUGAAACGACCUCACAUUCCCCGCUCCACGGACACGGACCCGAGUCCUGAGAACAGAGGGGUUUCUGUUUUGUUGGCUGUCACAUCUCCAGGACCAGGUAGAGCCCCCGAACACAGUGGUGCUCAAUAAUUGUUUGUUGAUGUAAUAAAAAAGUCUUUAAAAGAUAAGAAUAACUGUAUGCUGAGGGGAGGGGUGGACAUCCCAGGGGACGGAUGUGUCACCGAAGGACUGAAGAACUUCCCCAGGUCUUAGUGUGGUCAGUGGCAUCGACGUGACAAUGGCAAUACUGGUUGCGGGCACUGGCUGUGCUGGGCGCCGUUGGCACACCGGCUCGCUCAGUCCUCGCAGAGGCCCCGUGAGGUCAGUCCCAUGCUGACCCGCAUUCUCCAGAUGAGGAAAGUGUGCUUUAGAGAGGUGAAGGGACUUGCUCCCGGUCAGCAGAGGCCACCAUGCCCUGCCCCCUGACCUCCAGAGCUUCAAGGUCCCCAAAAGAUGACACCGCCCCUGAUUCCCAGUGCAGCCCAGAGAGGUGGUGUGUCCUGCCUGAUGCCCCCAAGCUGGUCAGCCGCCCGGCGUGCGGCUGGCUGGCUCCCUGGCAGUCGCUCAGCGCGUCAGGAGGGCGGGCAGCCUGGCGGUUGGCCUGUCCUGGGACGCGGGCAGCCAGCAGUUUCUCUCCCCGGACUUUACUGUACAUGAUUCAGCGCCAGCCCCAGUUGUGAAAUCUGGGAAUCUUGUGGGCAAGGCCAGGCCCGGGGGAUGGCUGUCUGGGAAAGGGAGGCCGGGAAGGGGUUAAGGGGGGCGGCGGGCCCCCCUGGGGAGGCGCUGGGCCAGGCCAGCCGAGAGCACACCAGUAGCACCGGCCGGCCACCGCCUGCGGCCUGACUCUGACAUCACAGCUGCGUCAGUCCGGCCGGCCCCAGCCCCCCACUUCCUUCCCUCCCGCAGCCCGCGUCC
ensembl:lncRNA